rnacentral:rRNA from 1 species
UUAUAUGAGAGUUUGAUCCUGGCUCAGGAUGAACGCCGGCGGUGUGCCUAAUACAUGCAAGUCGAACGCGUUGGCCCAAUUGAUUGAUGGUGCUUGCACCUGAUUGAUUUUGGUCGCCAACGAGUGGCGGACGGGUGAGUAACACGUAGGUAACCUGCCCAGAAGCGGGGGAUAACAUUUGGAAACAGAUGCUAAUACCGUAUAACAGCGUUGUUCGCAUGAACAACGCUUAAAAGAUGGCUUCUCGCUAUCACUUCUGGAUGGACCUGCGGUGCAUUAGCUUGUUGGUGGGGUAACGGCCUACCAAGGCGAUGAUGCAUAGCCGAGUUGAGAGACUGAUCGGCCACAAUGGGACUGAGACACGGCCCAUACUCCUACGGGAGGCAGCAGUAGGGAAUCUUCCACAAUGGGCGCAAGCCUGAUGGAGCAACACCGCGUGAGUGAAGAAGGGUUUCGGCUCGUAAAGCUCUGUUGUUAAAGAAGAACACGUAUGAGAGUAACUGUUCAUACGUUGACGGUAUUUAACCAGAAAGUCACGGCUAACUACGUGCCAGCAGCCGCGGUAAUACGUAGGUGGCAAGCGUUAUCCGGAUUUAUUGGGCGUAAAGAGAGUGCAGGCGGUUUUCUAAGUCUGAUGUGAAAGCCUUCGGCUUAACCGGAGAAGUGCAUCGGAAACUGGAUAACUUGAGUGCAGAAGAGGGUAGUGGAACUCCAUGUGUAGCGGUGGAAUGCGUAGAUAUAUGGAAGAACACCAGUGGCGAAGGCGGCUACCUGGUCUGCAACUGACGCUGAGACUCGAAAGCAUGGGUAGCGAACAGGAUUAGAUACCCUGGUAGUCCAUGCCGUAAACGAUGAGUGCUAGGUGUUGGAGGGUUUCCGCCCUUCAGUGCCGGAGCUAACGCAUUAAGCACUCCGCCUGGGGAGUACGACCGCAAGGUUGAAACUCAAAGGAAUUGACGGGGGCCCGCACAAGCGGUGGAGCAUGUGGUUUAAUUCGAAGCUACGCGAAGAACCUUACCAGGUCUUGACAUCUUGCGCCAACCCUAGAGAUAGGGCGUUUCCUUCGGGAACGCAAUGACAGGUGGUGCAUGGUCGUCGUCAGCUCGUGUCGUGAGAUGUUGGGUUAAGUCCCGCAACGAGCGCAACCCUUGUUACUAGUUGCCAGCAUUAAGUUGGGCACUCUAGUGAGACUGCCGGUGACAAACCGGAGGAAGGUGGGGACGACGUCAGAUCAUCAUGCCCCUUAUGACCUGGGCUACACACGUGCUACAAUGGACGGUACAACGAGUCGCGAACUCGCGAGGGCAAGCAAAUCUCUUAAAACCGUUCUCAGUUCGGACUGCAGGCUGCAACUCGCCUGUACGAAGUCGGAAUCGCUAGUAAUCGCGGAUCAGCAUGCCGCGGUGAAUACGUUCCCGGGCCUUGUACACACCGCCCGUCACACCAUGAGAGUUUGUAACACCCAAAGUCGGUGGGGUAACCUUUUAGGAGCCAGCCGCCUAAGGUGGGACAGAUGAUUAGGGUGAAGUCGUAACAAGGUAGCCGUAGGAGAACCUGCGGCUGGAUCACCUCCUUU